UGAUUCAAUGAUACUACUAAUUGCUCUAAAACUAUUCACUUGUCUAAGCCUUAAUUUAUAACUUCUCCUAACAAUAUUUAUCCAAGUUCCUAAAUUAGCUUACAUCAAUAUUAUACCGAUUGCUUCUUAACAAAAUUAUAUUUGUUUGAUUAUUCAUCCAAAUUCAAUUUAAUUAACUAAUAUUUACUAAGUUUAUAAUUUAUACCGAAGAUAAAGAAACUGGUCUUAGAACGUACCAAUUGAGAAUCGGGCGACGAUUCCACGAUCAGCGCAAAGAGAAGAGCAUUCUAUCUCUCGGGGCCUCGCCGGAGUGUCGCCGGCCGGUCACCGGACCGCUGCCACCGGCCGCCGUGCACGGUGGCCGGAAAAUCAUCCUUUCCCAGAAAUUUGCAACGAUCACAUCAUUCAACUCAAAAUUCACCAAGGAGUCCAUUUUUGGCAUUAAUUUAGUGACAUCGGCCCUUGAUUGGCCGGAUCGGCUCGACAGCCGCUACAUCUCCUCCGCGCAAGGGUGCUCUUCAAAACGUCGAUAAGUACACAAAUUGAUAGAGGGAAUUUACUCACAGCGUGGUAGAGAGUCAAUUAACACCCGUUUCCUCCGUUGGGGCCGCCGAAAAUGGUGUGGAUCGCCAAAGAUGGAAGAGGAGACAAUCGCGUGGGAGAAAGCUCCAUCCGCGCCACUGCAGGUCCGUUCAACGUGAAGGGAGGCCGGAAUUGAGACCACUGGCGCUGGACGAACCGAUCGCCACUCCGUUCUGGUCGAGUGGUGGUCGGAGAUCGAAAGGAGAGGGAGGAGGGUGCUGUCGCGCGAGGAAGAAGAAGGAGGGAAAGGAAG
rnacentral:lncRNA from 1 species